UACAGGGGGUGCAAACGUUGCUCGGAAUCAUUGAGCGUAAAGCGCACGUAGGCGGAUUGUUAAGUCAGGGGUGAAAUCCUGGAGCUCAACUCCAGAACUGCCUUUGAUACUGGCGAUCUCGAGUCCGGGAGAGGUGAGUGGAACUGCGAGUGUAGAGGUGAAAUUCGUAGAUAUUCGCAAGAACACCAGUGGCGAAGGCGGCUCACUGGCCCGGUACUGACGCUGAGGUGCGAAAGCGUGGGGAGCAACAGG
rnacentral:rRNA from 1 species